rnacentral:tRNA from 1 species
GCUUGGAUGGCUCAGUUGGUUAGAGCGCAGGUCUCAUACUUUGCGUAUGACCACCGCACGGUGGGCAAUCCUGAGGUCGUGAGUUCGAUCCUCACUCCGAGCA